rnacentral:rRNA from 1 species
AAAGUUUCGGCGGUUGGGGAUGGACUCGCGGCUUAUCAGCUUGUUGGUGGGGUAGUGGGCUUACCCAAGGCUUUGACGGGUAGCCGGCCUGAGAGGGUGACCGGCCACAUUGGGACUGAGAUACGGCCCAGACUCCUACGGGAGGCAGCAGUGGGGAAUAUUGCACAAUGGGCGGAAGCCUGAUGCAGCAACGCCGCGUGCGGGAUGACGGCCUUCGGGUUGUAAACCGCUUUCGCCUGUGACGAAGCGUGAGUGACGGUAAUGGGUAAAGAAGCACCGGCUAACUACGUG